AAUAGAUACCCAGGUAGUCCACGCCGUAAACGAUGUCGACUUGGAGGUUGUUCCCUUGAGGAGUGGCUUCCGGAGCUAACGCGUUAAGUCGACCGCCUGGGGAGUACGGCCGCAAGGUUAAAACUCAAAUGAAUUGACGGGGGCCCGCACAAGCGGUGGAGCAUGUGGUUUAAUUCGAUGCAACGCGAAGAACCUUACCUACUCUUGACAUCCAGAGAACUUAGCAGAGAUGCUUUGGUGCCUUCGGGGAACUCUGAGACAGGUGCUGCAUGGCUGUCGUCAGCUCGUGUUGUGAAAUGUUGGGUUAAGUCCCGCAACGAGCGCAACCCUUAUCCUUUGUUGCCAGCGGUUCGGCCGGGAACUCAAAGGAGACUGCCAGUGAUAAACUGGAGGAAGGUGGGGAUGACGUCAAGUCAUCAUGGCCCUUACGAGUAGGGCUACACACGUGCUACAAUGGCGUAUCAAAGAGAAGCGACCUGCGAGAGCAAGCGGACCUCAUAAAGUACGUCGUAGUCCGGAUUGGAGUCUGC
rnacentral:rRNA from 1 species